CAAUAGCGUAUAUUAAAGUUGUUGCAGUUAAAAAGCUCGUAGUUGGAUUUGUGGUGUACUUUGGCGGCCCGUCACUAUGUGAUGGAGCUUGCUGAAGUCGCCAUCCUUGGGUGGAUCCUGUGUGGCAUUAAGUUGUCGUGCAGGGGAUGCCCAUCGUUUACUGUGAAAAAAUUAGAGUGUUCAAAGCAGGCUUAUGCCGUUGAAUAUAUUAGCAUGGAAUAAUAAGAUAGGACCUUGGUACUAUUUUGUUGGUUUGCGCACCAAGGUAAUGAUUAAUAGGGACAGUUGGGGGUAUUCGUAUUUCAUUGUCAGAGGUGAAAUUCUUGGAUUUUUGAAAGACGAACUACUGCGAAAGCAUUUGCCAAGGAUGUUUUCAUUGA
rnacentral:rRNA from 1 species